UACGUAGGGUGCGAGCGUUGUCCGGAAUUAUUGGGCGUAAAGAGCUCGUAGGCGGUCUGUCGCGUCGAUCGUGAAAACUUGGGGCUUAACCCUGAGCUUGCGGUCGAUACGGGCAUGACUGGAGUUCGGCAGGGGAGACUGGAAUUCCUGGUGUAGCGGUGAAAUGCGCAGAUAUCAGGAGGAACACCGGUGGCGAAGGCGGGAUCUCUGGGCCGAUACUGACGCUGAGAGCGAACGAGCGUGGGGAGCGAACAGG
rnacentral:rRNA from 1 species